UACAGAGACUGCAAGCGUUAUUCGGAUUCACUGGGCGUAAAGGGUGCGCAGGCGGUUGGGUGUGUCAGAUGUGAAAUCCCGAGGCUUAACCUCGGAACUGCGUCUGAAACUACUCGACUAGAGUACUGGAGAGGGAAACGGAAUUCACGGUGUAGCAGUGAAAUGCGUAGAUAUCGUGAGGAACACCGGUGGCGAAGGCGGUUCUCUGGGCCUUACCUGACGCUGAGGAGCGAAAGCGUGGGGAGCGAACAGG
rnacentral:rRNA from 1 species